GAUGAACGCUGGCGGCGUGCCUAAUACAUGCAGGUCGAGCGAACGGACGAGAAGCUUGCUUCUCUGAUGUUAGCGGCGGACGGGUGAGUAACACGUGGAUAACCUACCUAUAAGACUGGGAUAACUUCGGGAAACCGGAGCUAAUACCGGAUAAUAUUUUGAACCGCAUGGUUCAAAAGUGAAAGACGGCCUUGCUGUCACUUAUAGAUGGAUCCGCGCUGCAUUAGCUAGUUGGUAAGGUAACGGCUUACCAAGGCAACGAUGCAUAGCCGACCUGAGAGGGUGGUCGGCCACACUGGAACUGAGACACGGUCCAGACUCCUACGGGAGGCAGCAGUAGGGAAUCUUCCGCAAAGGGCGAAAGCCUGACGGAGCAACGCCGCGUGAGUGAUGAAGGUCUUCGGAUCGUAAAACUCUGUUAUUAGGGAAGAACAUAUGUGUAAGUAACUGUGCACAUCUUGACGGUACCUAAUCAGAAAGCCACGGCUAACUACGUG
rnacentral:rRNA from 1 species